rnacentral:rRNA from 1 species
UACAGAGGGUGCGAGCGUUAGGCGGAAUCACUGGGCUUAAAGCGUGUGUAGGUGGAUCGUUAAGUACCUUGUGAAAUCCCACGGCUUAACCGUGGAACUGCUUGGUAUACUGGCGGUCUUGAGCCAGCUAGGGGCUACCGGAACAAAUGGUGGAGCGGUGAAAUGCGUAGAUAUCAUUUGGAACGCCAAUGGUGAAAACAGGUGGCUGGGGCUGUACUGACACUGAGACACGAAAGCCAGGGGAGCAAACGGG